rnacentral:rRNA from 1 species
AGAGUUUGAUCCUGGCUCAGAAUCAACGCUGGCGGCGCGCUUAACACAUGCAAGUCGCACGAGAAAGGGGAGCAAUCCCUGAGUACAGUGGCGUACGGGUGAGUAACACGUGGAUGAUCUACCUUCUAGUGGGGAAUAACCCUGGGAAACCGGGGCUAAUACCGCAUAAGCUCGAGAGAGGAAAGCAGCAAUGCGCUGGAAGAGGAGUCCGCGGCCGAUUAGCUAGUUGGCAGGGUAAAAGCCUACCAAGGCAGAGAUCGGUAGCCGGCCUGAGAGGGCACGCGGCCACACUGGCACUGAAACACGGGCCAGACUCCUACGGGAGGCAGCAGUGGGGAAUCUUGCACAAUGGGGGAAACCCUGAUGCAGCGACGCCGCGUGAGCGAUGAAGCCCUUCGGGGUGUAAAGCUCUUUCGGCAGGGAAGAUGAUGACGGUACCUGCAGAAGCAGCUGCGGCUAACUACGUGCCAGCAGCCGCGGUAAUACGUAGGCAGCGAGCGUUGUUCGGAGUUACUGGGCGUAAAGGGUGUGUAGGCGGUUGUUUAAGUUUGGUGUGAAAUCUCCCGGCUCAACUGGGAGGGUGCGCCGAAUACUGAAUGACUUGGAGUGCGGGAGAGGAAAGUGGAAUUCCUGGUGUAGCGGUGAAAUGCGUAGAUAUCAGGAGGAACACCGGUGGUGUAGACGGCUUUCUGGACCGUAACUGACGCUGAGACACGAAAGCGUGGGUAGCAAACAGGAUUAGAUACCCUGGUAGUCCACGCCCUAAACGAUGCAUAUUUGGUGUGGGCAGUUCAUUCUGU